rnacentral:lncRNA from 1 species
GUCAGUCGCCUUUCCCCGGUUCUCCCUUCUCAGUGGUGGGCUAAUGUGGAGAAAUAAGAAACCCUUAGGGCUUAGCGCCUGACUUCCUCAUUAGUAUAUCACAUCGCAACGCUUCCGAAUGCAGGGUUUGCUCCCAAGUCUUACCUUGCACGGGACCACGCAAUACCCUUUCUAGGGAGAAAAGAAACAACCUUGAGGAGAAGAAGAGCUGAAAGUGAAUUAGAAAGUGAAUUUGACGUCAUUGAAAUUGGUGUGUGGAUAUAAUAAACACUGCCAAGAGAAGGCCUUUUGUACUCAGGUUAAAUAAGAACAUCCUGCAAGGAGUCUGUUCUUUUAUGCAGCCUAAAGAUCAAGUAAUAAUCAUUGACACUGAUACUGAGCAUGUCGAUUUUGAAGAGACUAGCAUUUCCUGGUAAUGAAGUGGAGUAUAUAUCCAUAUAUUUCUGUUUUCUGGAUGAGAAGACUAACCUAACUAAGUAGGAACCUUGAAGAAUCAUGUUCUUCCUAGGAAUUACAAAUCCCCCGAUUCCAUGUCUAACAUAAUUUCUACUGGCCUCUUUGCUUCUCAUGCUUUAGUACCAGUGCUUCUGAAUUUGAAAGUCUUCAUGCAAAUUGCCCAGGUUUGCUGGCAGCUGUGUCUCAGAAAAAGCUGUCUUCAGCAAGGCAGAAGCAGAGGAUCUUCUAGAAGAUUUGCACUAUCAGCUUGGUAUUCAGUUCUCUAGCUUGAAAUGAUUUCAGUGCCU